GGGAAACCGGAUCUAAUACCGGAUAGUAUAUUGAACCGCAUGGUUCAAUAGUGAAAGACGGUUUUGCUGUCACUUAUAGAUGGAUCCGCGCCGCAUUAGCUAGUUGGUAAGGUAACGGCUUACCAAGGCAACGAUGCGUAGCCGACCUGAGAGGGUGAUCGGCCACACUGGAACUGAGACACGGUCCAG
rnacentral:rRNA from 1 species